rnacentral:rRNA from 1 species
GUUGAUCCUGCGGGAGAUUGCUGCUAUUAGAGUUCGACUAAGCCAUGCAAGUUUAGGGUGCUUCGGCAACCGGCAAAUUGCUCAGUAACGCGUCAAUAAUCUGCCCAUAGGUCCAGGAUAACCUUGGGAAACUGAGGCUAAGACUGGAUAGAAGAUUAUUUCUGGAAUGAAGUUUCUUUUAAAGGCAACGCCUAUGGAUGAGUUGGCGGCUGAUUAGGUAGUUGGUGGUGUAACGGACCACCAAGCUUAAGAUCAGUAGGGGUCCUGAGAGGGAUAGCCCCGAGAAGGGCACUGAGAUACAGGCCCUAGCCCCACGGGGUGCAGCAGGCGCGAAACCUUUACAAUGCACGAAAGUGCGAUAAGGGGACUCUAAGUGCCUUACUUUCAGUAAGGCUUUUGCCAAAGGUAAAAACUUUGGAGAAUAAGUGGUGGGCAAGACUGGUGCCAGCCGCCGCGGUAACACCAGCGCCACUAGUGGGAAUCACAUUUAUUUGGCCUAAAGCGUCCGUAGCCUGUCUGAUAAGUUCCUUGUGAAAUUGUUACGCUUAACGUAACAGCGUGCAGGGAAUACUGUUAGACUUGGAACCGCGAGGAGUUAGAGGUAUUCCUAGGGGAGCGGUAAAAUGCUAUAAUCCUGGGAGGACCACCUGUGGCGAAGGCGUCUAACUAGAACGGUUUCGACGGUGAGGGACGAAAGCUAGGAGAGCAAUCCGGAUUAGAUACCCGAGUAGUCCUAGCUGUAAACUCUGCGAGCUAGGUGUUGCAUAAUCUUCGUGAUUAUGCAGUGUCGAAGCGAAGGUGAUAAGCUCGCCGCCUGGGAAGUAUGGUCGCAAGACUGAAACUUAAAGGAAUUGGCGGGGGAGCACUACAAGGGGUGCGGCGUGCGGUUUAAUCUAAUUCAACGCAGAGAAUCUCACCAGAAGCGGCGGCAGGAUGAAAGUCAGGCUGAAGGUCUUACUUAACAAGCCGAGAGGUAGUGCAUGGCCGCCGUCAGCUCGUGCCGUAAGGUGUCCUGUUAAGUCAGGCAACGAGCGAGACCUAUGCUUAUAAUUGCUAACAGAUCAAGUUGAGGACUGAGCACAUUGUGAGGACUGCCUCUGAAAAGAGGAGGAAGGUGUAGGCUACGGUAGGUCUGUAUGCUCCGAAUCUUCUGGGCUACACGCGCGCAACAAUGGUAAAAACAAUGGGAUACAACUCCGAAAGGAGAAGUUAAUCCUCCAAAUUUUAUCUUAGUUCAGAUUGAGGGCUGUAAUUCGCCCUCAUGACGCUGGAAUCCCUAGUAAUCAGGUCUUAGCAUGGCCCGGUGAAUAUGUCCCUGCUCCUUGCACACACCGCCCGUCAAACCACCCGAGUAGGGUUUAGAUGAGGUCUUAUUUGUAAUAAGUUCAAAUCUAAGCUUUGUGAGGAGGGUUAAGUCGUCACAAGGUA